UGAAGAGUUUGAUCAUGGCUCAGAUUGAACGCUGGCGGCAGGCUUAACACAUGCAAGUCGAACGGGCACUUCGGUGUCAGUGGCAGACGGGUGAGUAACACGUGGGAACGUACCUUUUGGUUCGGAACAACACAGGGAAACUUGUGCUAAUACCGGAUAAGCCCUUAUGGGGAAAGAUUUAUCGCCGAAAGAUCGGCCCGCGUCUGAUUAGCUAGUUGGUGAGGUAAUGGCUCACCAAGGCGACGAUCAGUAGCUGGUCUGAGAGGAUGAUCAGCCACAUCGGGACUGAGACACGGCCCGAACUCCUACGGGAGGCAGCAGUGGGGAAUAUUGGACAAUGGGCGAAAGCCUGAUCCAGCAAUGCCGCGUGAGUGAUGAAGGCCUUAGGGUUGUAAAGCUCUUUUACCCGGGAUGAUAAUGACAGUACCGGGAGAAUAAGCUCCGGCUAACUCCGUGCCAGCAGCCGCGGUAAUACGGAGGGAGCUAGCGUUAUUCGGAAUUACUGGGCGUAAAGCGCACGUAGGCGGCUUUGUAAGUAAGAGGUGAAAGCCCAGAGCUCAACUCUGGAAUUGCCUUUUAGACUGCAUCGCUCGAAUCAUGGAGAGGUCAGUGGAAUUCCGAGUGUAGAGGUGAAAUUCGUAGAUAUUCGGAAGAACACCAGUGGCGAAGGCGGCUCACUGGCCCAUAACUGACGCUGAGGCACGAAAGCGUGGGGAGCAAACAGGAUUAGAUACCCUGGUAGUCCACGCCGUAAACGAUGUCUACUAGUCGUUGGGUCCCUUGAGGACUUAGUGACGCAGCUAACGCAAUAAGUAGACCGCCUGGGGAGUACGGCCGCAAGGUUAAAACUCAAAUGAAUUGACGGGGGCC
rnacentral:rRNA from 1 species